CGCCGUGACAGUGAUGACCACAAGCUGUUUGCACAUUUGCCGACCCUGCGUGAGUGAC
rnacentral:snoRNA from 1 species